UCUCAACCUCCUGUUUUUUCCUCCUUGGAUAUCUGCGAAGAUGCCAGGCCAAGCCUCUGGCCAGAGUUACAGAAACAAAGGACAAAUAAUGGGGGGAUCGGGAUGUGACACCAGCAGGGAGAGGAGUGGACACUCCUGUCAGUACCUGUGAAGUAUUUACUGCUCCAGGAGGAGAAAAUAAGACAAGUGAAGCAUCCACUGGAGGCCUAGAUCUUUUCAGAAGUUCCACAGUGAACUGGGCAAAUAUACAUGGUAUACAGGGGUAGGAUGACUUCUUCAUUCUUUCACCUAGUGGGAUAACUGGAAUCCCAGCUGGGAAGAGGAUGGCACAGCAGACAAAUCCAUCAGCUAACUUUUCACUGAUCAAGGAACCAAUUGGGAAAGUUAUCACUGAAAUGAAGAGGCACCUGUGAUCUGGUGACAUCCAUGUAUUCAACCUGGCUUUCACCACAUUAUGUUCAAGAUGGUCCUUUACUGGGGUCAUUAUUCUAAGUGCCUCCUCACCAUCAAUUUGUGCUGGCAGCAUCCUGAAGACACUAGACAAGACUCUUUGGGUCCCAUGCUCCUGCCUUCCAUGCAUUGGAUGGCAUCCAUAUUCUGGGACCUGUGACCCAGCAGUGAUGAGUUUGUUUUCCCAGAGACCUGUGACCCAGAUAGAUGUGUUUCAAAGUAGACCUGAGGCAAGGUCCCCAGGGAGACAGAACUGCUGAGCAGAGGUUGCUCAAGGGAGAAGAGCUGAAACCACAGAACUCCAGAAGUGGUCAAGCUGAAGUUCCAGGUGAUACCUUUGACCCUUCACUUACCCUUAUGACUUGAUUUCUCUUCAAAAGCAAGCCCUGCUGAUUUUACCCCCAAGAUGUCCAUAAAGCCACUCAUAUGUAAGCCAGGAUCUCCCACAAGGACCAUACAGCAACCACAGGGACCUUGGAAAAUGCCCGAGGUUAUGUCAUGACCGUACUCACAAACUCUUUGUUAGGAUGGCUAGCAUGAGGUUCAUUAAUAAUACAGCUAUAUACAGAGAAAACAAUCAUCACUAGGCAUAUCACCAUUUGGGAAAAG
rnacentral:lncRNA from 12 species